UACGGAGGGUGCGAGCGUUGUCCGGAAUCACUGGGCGUAAAGGGCGCGUAGGUGGCCCGGCAAGUCAACGGUGAAAGCUUGGGGCUCAACCCCGAGUCGGCCGUCGAUACUUCCGGGCUGGAGCACUGUAGAGGCAGGUGGAAUUCCGGGUGUAGCGGUGAAAUGCGCAGAUAUCAGGAGGAACACCGAUGGCGAAGGCAGGUCUCUGGGCCACUACUGACGCUGAGAAGCGAAAGCAUGGGGAGCGAACAGG
rnacentral:rRNA from 1 species